CCUACGGGAGGCAGCAGUGAGGAAUAUUGGUCAAUGGACGAGAGUCUGAACCAGCCAAGUAGCGUGAAGGAUGACUGCCCUAUGGGUUGUAAACUUCUUUUAUAUGGGAAUAAAAUGUUCCACGUGUGGGAUGUUGUAGGUACCAUAUGAAUAAGGAUCGGCUAACUCCGUGCAAGCAGCCGCGGUAAUCCGGAGGAUCCGAGCGUUAUCCGGUUUUUUUGGGUUUAAAGGGAGCGUAGGUGGUUUGUUAAGUCAGUUGUGAAAGUUUGCGGCUCAACCGUAAAAGUGGAGUUGAAACUGGCAGUCUUGAGUACAGUAGAGGUGGGCGGAAUGUGUGGUGUAGCGGUGAAAUGCUUAGAUAGCACGAAGAACCCCGAUUGCGAAGGCAGCUCACUGG
rnacentral:rRNA from 1 species